CGGGAAUUUUGGGCAAUGGGCGAAAGCCUGACCCAGCAACGCCGCGUGAGGGAUGAAGUAUUUCGGUAUGUAAACCUCGAAAGAAUGGGAAGAAUAAAUGACGGUACCAUUUAUAAGCUCCGGCUAACUACGUGCCAGCAGCCGCGGUAAUACGUAGGGAGCAAGCGUUGUUCGGAUUUACUGGGCGUAAAGGGCGCGUAGGCGGCGCGGUAAGUCACUUGUGAAAUCUCUGAGCUUAACUCAGAACGGCCAAGUGAUACUGCUGUGCUAGAGUGCGGAAGAGGCAACCGGAAUUCUUGGUGUAGCGGUGAAAUGCGUAGAUAUCAAGAGGAACACCUGAGGCGAGGGCGGGUUGCUGGGCCGACACUGACGCUGAUGCGCGAAAGCCAGGGGAGCAAACG
rnacentral:rRNA from 1 species